UUUAGACUAGAUUUAAGUAGAGUCUAGAUCUAGAUUUAGUAGGCUUAUUAUUAUGCCUACUAGAUCUAGGUCUAGACUCUACUUAAAUCUAGUCUA
rnacentral:pre_miRNA from 1 species